rnacentral:rRNA from 1 species
UACGAAGGGGACUAGCGUUGUUCGGAAUCACUGGGCGUAAAGCGCACGUAGGCGGAUAUGUCAGUCAGGGGUGAAAUCCCGGGGCUUAACCUCGGAACUGCCUUUGAUACAGCAUAUCUUGAGUCCGAUAGAGGUGGGUGGAAUUCCUAGUGUAGAGGUGAAAUUCGUAGAUAUUAGGAAGAACACCGGUGGCGAGGGCGACUUACUGGACACAUAUUGACGCUGAGGUGCGAAAGCGUGGGGAGCAAACAGG